UGAGCACUUGGCCCACUUUGCGGUUCCUA
rnacentral:piRNA from 1 species